rnacentral:rRNA from 1 species
CCCGCUGAACUUAAGCACAUCAAUAAGCGGAGGAAAAGAAACUAACAAGGAUUCCCCUAGUAACGGCGAGUGAAGAGGGAAGAGCUCAAAUUUUAAAUCUGGCGUCUUUGGCGUCCGAAUUGUAAUCUAGAGAAGCGUCUUCCGCGCUGGACCGUGUAUAAGUUUCCUGGAAUGGAACGUCGUAGAGGGUGAGAAUCCCGUCUUUGACACGGACUGCCAGGGCUAUGUGAUGCGCUCUCGACGAGUCGAGUUGUUUGGGAAUGCAGCUCAAAUAGGGUGGUAAAUUCCAUCUAAAGCUAAAUACAGGCGAGAGACCGAUAGCGAACAAGUACCGUGAGGGAAAGAUGAAAAGAACUUUGGAAAGAGAGUUAAACAGUACGUGAAAUUGCUGAAAGGGAAACGCUUGAUGUCAGUCGCGUCGUCCGGGGAUCAGCCUUGCUCUUUUGCUCGGUGUAUUUCCUGGUCGACGGGUCAGCAUCGGUUUUGACCGUCGGAAAAUGGCUCGAGGAAUGUGGCACCCUUCGGGGUGUGUUAUAGACUCGGGUCGAAUACGGCGAUUGGGACCGAGGAACUCAGCACGACCUUAGGGUUCGGGGCUUCGGCCCACGUUAACGUGCUUAGGAUGCUGGCAUAAUGGCCUUAAGCGACCCGUCUUGAAACACGG